rnacentral:misc_RNA from 1 species
GUCCCCGGUUACUUACUUGCAGGUAAAUUUUCCCUGCCCAAUUCCAAAAGAUAGGGUAUUGUUCAAAUAUUCUUAAAAUAACUUCUUACAUUUUUAUUAGUUUCACAAAUAUUGAUUUGGGAUCGAAACCGCUCUUGAGAAUUCCAUUCCUUUCAUUCAAGGUUUAUGGUUUUUAUCAUUUAUAUUUUGGUUCAAGUGUAUAGAUUUAGUCCUUAGUUAUGAGUUGCAUUUACCAGCAAGAAGAGUUCAAGCUCAUAUGAAAGUUCAUAUAAUUAAUUGAUUAAAAAGAAAGGCUAACUGAAAAGGGUCCUAAGUUCAUGAUUUGUUUAGCAAUUAGGUUUAUUCUUUUUAUACUCUGUUUUUAGAUCCUAAAUGUUAACUUGAGAUCCUAAUGUUAAAAAAAUAAGUGUUUUACGGUUCAAGCUCAGUUGAAGUGAAGAUGUUGAUGAUUAUGUAUCGACCCUAAAUUUGUGUUACUAAACCUGAAACUUUUGGCUUGGUGUGAUUGGCUGAGCUUUUAAUGCUCAUGCUUUAAUGGGUAUUGUUCUUGAUUUUCAGGUUGGUAAAUUUGGUGUCAGA